rnacentral:rRNA from 1 species
UGAGGGAUAUUGGGCAAUGGGCGCAAGCCUGACCCAGCGACGCCGCGUGGAGGACGAAGGGCUUCGGCUCGUAAACUCCUUUUCCCGUGGACGAGAGAUAGGACGGUACACGGGGAAUAAGUCUCGGCUAACUACGUGCCAGCAGCCGCGGUAAAACGUAGGAGGCAAGCGUUAUCCGGAAUCACUGGGCGUAAAGGGCGUCUAGGCGGCACGAUAAGCGAGGUGUGAAAGCUCCUGGCUCAACUAGGAGAGUGCGCUUCGAACUGUCGAGCUACGAGGGCAGGCGAAGGGGGUGGAAUUCCCGGUGGAGUGGUGGAAUGCGUAGAGAUCGGGAGGAACACCCGUGGCGAAAGCGGCCCCCUAGCCUGAACCUGACGCUGAAGCGCGAAAGCGUGGGGAGCAAACGGG